GAGAGAAAAAAGGCUGGACGGAGUGCGAGGUACCAGUGGUUGUUGGUGGGCAACGAAAGGACAAAGAAAGUGAACGGUGGACAUUUAUCAAGAGCUGAUCGACGUGUUCGACAAGGACUGUUGAAAGUUCAACUGGGAUAGUGUGUCGUUUGAGUGGAUUACUCAAAAUGUAAGUAAAGAGUAAAAUUGUGAUAGACAUUUAGAGUAAUUAAUAUUGAGUUAAUUUAUGAGUUUCAUACUUUGGAGUAAGAAAAGAACUCAGUUGGCUACCUCGUCAAAGUAUUUUAUAAUAGAGAGGCGCUACCUACAGUUGACAACUCUCAGCUGCAAAACAAGCAACUCAGCCUUGGACAUUUAAUCAACUUGUUGCAAUGGACAAACUGAAGCACGACAAAGUUAUUUUUUUUUUUAAAUAUCACAAACAUGAUGUGACUGGCAAGGAAGAAAUGGAUGUCACUCGCAGAUGUAGCUACAAUAUAAUACAAAGAGUGUAAACAGGUGAGAAAGGAACCGUACAUAUAUCGCUGGUGUGGGCUGGAAAACAUGCAUCUCCAAAGCUAUCACUGUUCUGGAAACCAAAAGACUGACUGCUCUAUAUUUGUAGACUGUGCAAUGCCUAAUAAAUACAUAAAUUGUU